GAUCAUGGCUCAGGAUGAACGCUAGCGACAGGCUUAACACAUGCAAGUCGAGGGGCGAGCGGGGGGUAGGCGAUACCCGCCGGCGACCGGCGCACGGGUGAGUAACGCGUAUGCAACUUGCCUAUCAGAGGGGGAGUAACCCGGCGAAAGUCGGACUAAUACCGCAUGAAGCAGGGAUCCCGCAUGGGGAUAUUUGCUAAAGAUUCAUCGCUGAUAGAUAGGCAUGCGUUCCAUUAGG
rnacentral:rRNA from 1 species